ACCCUUGUUUCCCCCUACUGAACAGAAAGAUGUCCACAUUGUCAGGCAGGAUGUAGAUGGAACAUGCUGGUCUCUUAGAAAGACGUAGCAAAGAAGUAAAUCCCAGCCAGGCCUUUUGAAAAGAGCCGGCCUGUUGCCACCAUGCUGAAGUUUCUGUAACUGAGAUGCAGCUGUGAAAUGAAUGGCCAAGAUGAAGGCAUUCAAGUGCCUCAAGGGCCACUCUGAAGUAGAAGAGAAAAGUAAACCGUGAAUAACCAGGAAAAAGAGAGAAAAAAAUAACCCAGAUGGAAGAAUACAGCUUGCAAUGAGGAUGUCUCUGUGACACCAGCUGAUGGCUUUGCUUGCUUAGAAAGAGAAGAAAGAACACAAUUAGAAGAAACUACACAACUUCGUAAAGUCAAAGCCUUUCCACCCCUUGUCUUCCCCUCCAAGUCAGUAAGAUUCUGCAUUAGAAAAGCACCACCGUUCACAAACUUACCAAGGGCUAAGAUUUACAGUGUAUGUUUAUUUGUAAUUAUGUCAAUUAUAUUUAUUUAUUUUUCCACAUAUAUUGCUAAGUUUUUCUUUCUAAAGUUCAAAUCACCUUUUUAUUAGUUAAAAGUUCUCUUUACUACCUGCUACUACAGGGAUUAGAAAAAGAAAUUAAAUUUAGGAUAGCAAAUAUCAUCACAGGCAGAGGAAUAUAACCUCCCUGCAAGCUUAAUUAAACUAGAAAAGAUGGUCUGAUAGCAGAUAAUAACACUGUUAACUAGACACCAAAGGUAGGAAUAGGCCUGCAGAAAAGGGCAGACUAUCAUUAUUAAAAUCUUUAUGCAGCAUGCUGACGUCCAGAUCCUGAUAGCACAGGAAAAGGCUUCUUGGGAUCUGACAGGAUAGAAAAUAGUAGAAUAUGUUAGACAAAUGCAUGAGAUGGAGGAAGCUAUGCUAGGCAGAAACAUGUCGAAAAUGUUUGUUUUGAAGCAUAGCUCUGGCAAACUGUUCUCAACAUCUUUGUUAUUGGUAAGGUUUGAAUAGCAGUGACUUAUCUCUUUUUUGGCUUCACAGUUUUAGACAAGAAGUGAAAUUAUGACCAAGUCUGACCCAUGGCUCCAGAGACAGGUGUCUCCUUCCUUUCGCUACGGGGAGUUUAAAAAGUCACACAAUUUCCGCUGACAUUUUUCUCCAUACGUAACAGGAGAUAAUUUCCUUCCUUCCUUUCUUUGUUUUGUUACUAGAGUCUUGACCUGGCAAAAAGCUCAAAUAUUUGAAGUUAUUACAUGGCAUACAAAAUAAAUAUAUCUGCUUUUGGAUGAUACAACACAAGAUUACUUCUUUGAUAAAAUUCUCCCUCACACUGUGUAUGUAGGUAUUCCAGAAGGCUGGCCUCUGAAACACAGGGCUUGAGACAUGACAGUUCUGUGUAGUGCAAAUUCUGCAAAUAAAACAGCCAGAAGAAAAUUCUCAAGAAAGUAUUUUAACUUUACACUUUCAGGGAACUCUAAUUAGGGCUUGCAUAACAUGUGAAGACCUUUCAAAGACUAAGUUUUUAUCUGUGGGAACUUUGCUUGCUGCCAUUGUAAAAUGGAAAUAAAGCUGUUCUAAUUAAUGGGCUUUAUUAUUUCUGAGAUGGAUAGGUCAGGAUUGCCAAGCUCUUCCUUUCACUUGUUCCUGUUCACUCAAGGUAUUUGCUUGUUACGGUGGCUCUGCACUGUAGUGAUCAGUGUAUUCCAGGUGUCCUGUCCUACAUUACUAUUACUGCAGGUGCCCAUGGUAAUGAAAUGGCAAGCCUUAGCAAUUCUCUCUUGUAAUGGUUUGUUCUUAUAGUUAAUUGACAUAGCCAUGCAAGUAGAGCCUUAGAUUGCUUCUGCAUCACUGUGGACACACUUGGAGAGAAAAUAUUCGGGUCCUAGGAAAAUACCAUUCACUUUGACAGAGAGGCACUGAAAUGAAAGCCUGAGGCAGCUCAAAGAAGUGGAGCCUGAAAUUCAGAUUGCCCUCAUUUUAUUAAAGCAAAAUUACCUUUUUCCCCAGGUACUUUCUGUGACACUUCCAUUGCUAGCUGGCUGUCGCCAAUUCCUCCCUAUCCUUCCAGAUCUUUUGGAGUCAUUGUUGAUGCAGCAGAUGCUGAAAGAGCUGUGUUUCUAAACGCAACACCUGCUGCUGAACCUGAAUCUCCAAGCCACAGCAUUGAAAGAUCAACUGAGCAGCUCUCCUGUGAACCUUGAACUCUGACAGUCUACGGAUUCAUCAUUCGAAGAAAUUAUAAUACAGGUUAGGAAGCAUACCAGGACCAGUCGUAAUUUAAUACAAUCUGUGGUGCUCUCUUUUUUGAGGGAAUUUUAGCGCAGGAGAUCACACUGGUCUCUAUGGCAACCAAACCCACGAGGUUUAUCCCAUGAGGAGCCCUGGUCCACUGCAGUUUGAGCCUGCUGCAGCACCCACUCCUACAGAAGGAAUAAGGCUGUUUCUGUGUAAAACACUGAAGAAAAAAAAAAAAACAAAAAAAACCCACAGCCAAAGCAAUUCAUGUUUCAUUGCUGUGCAGCUGUGUUCUUCAACUCACUUUAAAAAAUCAUGUUCUCUCUACGUUUGAUAAAUUAUUCUUUUCUUGCUUGAGUCAACCUUUUAAAUAAAAGAUGGAGCAAUUAAUGUG
rnacentral:lncRNA from 7 species